GCUGAGAGUGGGGGAUGCGAAACGAACUCCGUCCCCUGCCGAGUCGGUGCCUUCGGGGGCUCCAGCACCGCGCGCUCCCGCCGGCAAGUAACCAGACGAGAGGAGCAGCCUUCUAAGAGCGGAGCCCUGAAGACAUUUCCAAGCUGCCUGGACAAAGGCUUGGAGUGACUACAAUUGUGAGCCAUCCUGCCUUGCUGCCUUGGACCUGAAGCUAGAUCGAUGACCUAAUACAUCUUUUCCAGCUCUGACUGCCAUGGUUUUAUGAGCAUCGAGAACUGGGCGUCUGCCAUUGUCAACAAGCAGGGCCUCUCCAGAGCUGGAAUGUCCACGGACGCUCAGUACCCCCCAAAAAGCAUAGAUUGCCCAGUCUCCCAGGGCUCUGCGUGCUGCCUCCAGCUUUCAUGUGUGACACGGAAACUCCUCUCUGGCAGGAGUAAGUCUUAAAUAAAGGAAGUGUGUCUGUUACUGUC